rnacentral:snRNA from 1 species
AGCUUUGCGCAGUGGCAGUAUUGUAGCCAACGAGGUUUAUCUGAGGUGCCAUUAUUGCUAAUUGAAAACUUUUCCCAAUACCCCGCCAUGACGACUUGCAAUAUAGUCAGCAUUGGCAAUUUUUGAUGGUCCCUACAGGGG